rnacentral:rRNA from 1 species
GACGAACGCUGGCGGCGUGCUUAACACAUGCAAGUCGAACGGAAAGGCCCUGCUUUUGUGGGGUGCUCGAGUGGCGAACGGGUGAGUAACACGUGAGUAACCUGCCCUUGACUUUGGGAUAACUUCAGGAAACUGGGGCUAAUACCGGAUAGGAGCUCCCGCUGCAUGGUGGGGGUUGGAAAGUUUCGGCGGUUGGGGAUGGACUCGCGGCUUAUCAGCUUGUUGGUGGGGUAGUGGCUUACCAAGGCUUUGACGGGUAGCCGGCCUGAGAGGGUGACCGGCCACAUUGGGACUGAGAUACGGCCCAGACUCCUACGGGAGGCAGCGGUGGGGAAUAUGGCACAAUGGGCGGAAGCCUGAUGCAGCAACGCCGCGUGCGGGAUGACGGCCUGCGGGUUGUAAACCGCUUUCGCCUGUGACGAAGCGUGAGUGACGGUAAUGGGUAAAGAAGCACCGGCUAACUACGUG